rnacentral:rRNA from 1 species
AUGAGGAAGGAGGGAUUUGUGCCCAUGCCAAGUUCACUGGGCUGCCGUGUUUCACACUCCUACAUUGUAACAGUGGAGCUGCCGGCUGGCGUCAAGUUCGAUCCCACGGAUCAGGAGCUGAUCGAGCACCUUGAGGCAAAAGUGAGUGCUGAUAGCACGAGAUCUCACCCUCUCAUCGAUUUGUUCAUAGCAACCAUCGACAGCGAGCACGUCUAUGCUACACCCAUCCCGAGAAACUUCCAGCACAAUUCCAGGGCGUUCAAAAGGGGCACGUGGACGCGUCACGAGAUACAGUCGGAGUGCGGCAUGCACGCGAUGGGGCACAAGACUGGCAAUACCUUGCCGGUGAUGGUCAACAGCCGGCAGACGGGCAGCAAAAAGGUUGUGGUGCUGCACACCAACAAGAACGUCGACCAGCAGAGGACCAACUGCGUGAUGCACCAGUACCACCUCGGGGACCUAGAGCAAGAGAAGGAGCGGGAGCUGGUCCUCUGCAAGUUGGUAUUGUUGUUAACGAUCUUUUGGAAUGAACUUGCAUUUGCUUCCAACCAUCAUGCCAAGGGUCGACAUGGAUAUAAAGAUGAAUCAUUUGUUUCGAAAUGA